UACGUAGGGUGCAAGCGUGUCCGGAAUUAUUGGGCGUAAAGGGCUCGUAGGCGGUCCAUCACGUCGGGAGUGAAAAGCUGGGGCUUAACCCCAGUCCUGCUUCCGAUGCGGGUGGACUAGAGGUAGGCAGGGGAGAACGGAAUUCCUGGUGUAGCGGUGAAAUGCGUAGAUAUCGGGAGGAACACCAGUGGCGAAGGCGGCUGCCUGGGCCAGAUCUGACGCUGAGGCGCGAAAGCGUGGGGAGCAAACAGG
rnacentral:rRNA from 1 species